AUUGAACGCUGGCGGCAUGCUUUACACAUGCAAGUCGAACGGCAGCACGGGGGCAACCCUGGUGGCGAGUGGCGAACGGGUGAGUAAUAUAUCGGAACAUGUCCGGAAGUGGGGGAUAACGUACCGAAAGGUACGCUAAUACCGCAUAUGCCCUGAGGGGGAAAGCGGGGGAUCGCAAGACCUCGCGCUUUCGGAGUGGCCGAUAUCGGAUUAGCUAGUAGGUGAGGUAAAGGCUCACCUAGGCGACGAUCAGUAGCUGGUCUGAGAGGACGAUCAGCCACACUGGGACUGAGACACGGCCCAGACUCCUACGGGAGGCAGCAGUGGGGAAUUUUGGACAAUGGGCGAAAGCCUGAUCCAGCAAUGCCGCGUGUGUGAAGAAGGCCUUCGGGUUGUAAAGCAUUUUUGUCCGGAAAGAAAUGGCUCUGGUUAAUACCUGGGGUCGAUGACGGUACCGGAAGAAUAAGGACCGGCUAACUACGUGCCAGCCGCCGCGGUAAAAC
rnacentral:rRNA from 1 species